GGGGCCUUCGGGCCCCGAGUAAAGCGGCGGACGGGUGCGUAACACGUGGGUAACCCACCCUUCGGUUCGGGACAACAUUCCGAAAGGAGUGCUAAUCCCGGAUCCGUUCGACUCCCGGCGGGGAGUCGAGGAAAGGCGGCCUCUCCUUGGAAGCUGUCGCCGAAGGUCGGGCCCGCGGCCCAUCAGGUAGUUGGUGAGGUAAUGGCUCACCAAGCCUAUGACGGGUAGCUGGUCUUAGAGGAUGGUCAGCCACACUGGGACUGAGACACGGCCCAGACUCCUACGGGAGGCAGCAGUGGGGAAUCUUGGACAAUGGGGGCAACCCUGAUCCAGCGACGCCGCGUGAGUGAUGAAGGCCUUCGGGUCGUAAAGCUCUGUCGGGAGGGACGAUGGGUCCACGGAAAUAAUACUCCGUGAACCUGACGGUACCUCGCAAGAAAGCACCGGCUAACUCCGUGCCAGCAGCCGCGGUAAUACGGAGGGUGCAAGCGUUGUUCGGAAUCACUGGGCGUAAAGCGCGUGUAGGCGGUUCGUUAAGUCAGGUGUGAAAUCCCCCAGCUUAACUGGGGAAUUGCGCCUGAAACUGGCGGGCUUGAGUGUCGGAGAGGGAAGGGGAACUCCCGGUGUAGAGGUGAAAUUCGUAGAUAUCGGGAAGAACACCGGUGGCGAA
rnacentral:rRNA from 1 species